CCUACGGGCGGCUGCAGUGGGGAAUAUUGGGCAAUGGGCGCAAGCCUGACCCAGCAACGCCGCGUGAAGGAAGAAGGCUUUCGGGUUGUAAACUUCUUUUCUGAGGGACGAAGAAAGUGACGGUACCUCAGGAAUAAGCCACGGCUAACUACGUGCCAGCAGCCGCGGUAAUACGUAGGUGGCAAGCGUUAUCCGGAUUUAUUGGGUGUAAAGGGCGUGUAGGCGGGAAAGCAAGUCAGAUGUGAAAACUCAGGGCUCAACCCUGAGCCUGCAUUUGAAACUGUUUUUCUUGAGUGCUGGAGAGGCAAUCGGAAUUCCGUGUGUAGCGGUGAAAUGCGUAGAUAUCAGGAGGAACAUCGGUGGCGUAAGCGCUUUACUGGGCCGUAAUUGACGCUGAGGAACAAAAGCCAGGGUAGCAAAUGGGAUUAGAUACCCGAGUAGUC
rnacentral:rRNA from 1 species